UACGUAGGGGGCUAGCGUUGUCCGGAAUCAUUGGGCGUAAAGCGCGUGUAGGCGGUCCGGUAAGUCUGCUGUGAAAGUCGGGGGCUCAACCCUCGAAUGCCGGUGGAUACUGUCGGGCUAGAGUGCGGAAGAGGCGAGUGGAAUUCCUGGUGUAGCGGUGAAAUGCGCAGAUAUCAGGAGGAACACCGAUGGCGAAGGCAGGUCUCUGGGCAUUAACUGACGCUGAGGAGCGAAAGCAUGGGGAGCGAACAGG
rnacentral:rRNA from 1 species